AACGAACGCUGGCGGCAGGCCUAACACAUGCAAGUCGAGCGCCCCGCAAGGGGAGAGGCACAGGGGUGAGAAACGCGCGGGAAAGUACCUCUUGAUUCGGGACAACUCCCGGAGAAUGGAGUUAUAACAGGAAAAGCCCUAACGGGGAAAGAUUUAUCGCCGCAAGAUAGGCCCGCGUCUGAUUAGAUCGUGGUUGAGGUAACGGCUCACCACGGCGACGAUCAGUAGCUGGUCUGAGAGGAUGAUCAGCCACACUGGGACUGAGACACGGCCCAGACUCCUACGGGAGGCAGCAGUGGGGAAUAUUGGACAAUGGGCGCAAGCCUGAUCCAGCCAUGCCGCGUGAAUGAUGAAGGCCUUAGGGUUGUAAAGCUCUUUUGUCCGGGAAGAUAAUGACGGUACCGGAAGAAUAAGCCCCGGCUAACUUCGUG
rnacentral:rRNA from 1 species